rnacentral:rRNA from 1 species
GACGAACCGUGCGAACGUUGUUCGGAUUUACUGGGCGUAAAGGGCGCGUAGGCGGCCACCGCAAGUCGACUGUGAAAUCUCCGGGCUUAACCCGGAAAGGUCAGCCGAUACUGCGGGGCUAGAGUGCAGAAGGGGCAACUGGAAUUCUCGGUGUAGCGGUGAAAUGCGUAGAUAUCGAGAGGAACACCGGCGGCGAAGGCGGGUUGCUGGGCUGACACUGACGCUGAUGCGCGAAAGCUAGGGGAGCGAACGGG